CAGCCGCCACGGUAAUACGUAGGUGGCAAGCGUUGUCCGGAAUUAUUGGGCGUAAAGCGCGCGCAGGUGGUUUAAUAAGUCUGAUGUGAAAGCCCACGGCUCAACCGUGGAGGGUCAUUGGAAACUGUUAAACUUGAGUGCAGGAGAGAAAAGUGGAAUUCCAAGUGUAGCGGUGAAAUGCGUAGAGAUUAGGAGGAACACCAGUGGCGAAGGCGGCUUUUUGGCCUGUAACUGACACUGAGGCGCGAAAGCGUGGGGAGCAAACAGGAUUAGAUACCCCAGUAGUCCCUGUCUCUUAUAU
rnacentral:rRNA from 1 species